GAUGAACGCUAGCGGCAGGCUUAACACAUGCAAGUCGAGGGGUAGAAGUUGCUUGCAACUUUGAGACCGGCGCACGGGUGCGUAACGCGUAUGUAAUCUACCUUAUACAGAGGGAUAGCCCAGAGAAAUUUGGAUUAAUACCUCAUAGUAUAAUUGAAUGGCAUCAUUUAAUUAUUAAAGUUCCAACGGUAUAAGAUGAUCAUGCGUCCUAUUAGCUAGAUGGUAAGGUAACGGCUUACCAUGGCAACGAUAGGUAGGGGUCCUGAGAGGGAGUGCACCCAAACUGGUACUGAGAGACGGACCAGACUCCUACGGGAGGCAGCAGUGAGGGAUAAUGGACAAUGGGCGCAAGCCUGAUCCAGCCAUGCCGCGUGCAGGAAGAAGCAUCUAUGGUGUGUAAACUGCUUUUGUACGGGAAGAAACACCCCAUCGUGAAGGGACUUGACGGUACCGUAAGAAUAAGGAUCGGCUAACUCCGUGCCAGAAGCCGCCGUAAGAC
rnacentral:rRNA from 1 species